AGCCUGAUGGUAGCCGUGCCAAGAGAGAGCCGAGCCUGGGCUCUCCUGGGCAUGCACUGCUGUCUUAGGGACAAAACUCUUGGAGCAGAGCUUCCCACCUCCCCUAGUGCACCCAAAGACGAGGAGCCUCCUGCUUCUGCUCCACGCCAGGCUGGAGGCUGCUGCUUGCUCUUGCUUUCCCUGCGUGAAAGAAGAACCCUUGGGAAAGGAGUGGUGGGUACCAGCUUUGCAGAGCGGAGGAAGUUUGUCCCAUGGAAGUGAGCAUCUCUGAGCUGCCGUGGGUUGGUGGAGAACAUCUCAGAGCUUGUAAUCAGUGCCUCAUAAAUCACCGCUGACUGCCGGGAUCGCUUUGGCCGCUCUUCCCCAUCGUCCUGUCUGCAGGAAUGGGCUGCAUGUUUCCACGUGGAUCGGGUCUGAAUUGGCUGUCUGAACCCAGAGAUUAAAGAAACAGCAGCCUCUCUCUCUCCUGUAACUGGCCCGAGAAUCCAUGAGCAUCCUCAGAAGUCUGAAGAGAAUGGGCAUCCUGUCUAUAUCCAAGGCAGGUAAUCACUGUAAAGCCACAGAUUACCCACGGUCUUCAGCAAGGAGUUGUCAGACUACCCAAAAUGUGCUGUAGCACAGCCAGCCCAUAUUUCUCCAUUGGGUCUGAUGUCAUCCAGGUCCUUCCCUCAUCACAUCUCUGUUGUAACACCUUUUCCUCUGUAUUGAUCUGCCACAUUGCUACACCAGGGGACUCUUUGACAGCUGAAGUUUUUGGUGUGUCUGCAUGACGUGAAGGUCCAGAAGGCCACCACUGGGGCUUCUGGUCACCACCCCAUCAGACCUGUGAGCAUGCAGGGAUCUGAAAUAAACUUUCU
rnacentral:lncRNA from 7 species